rnacentral:rRNA from 1 species
GNGUCGCCUNUUUUACCAAAAACAUUUCUUUUUGUUUUAAUUAAAAGGUAUAUCCUGCCCUAUGAGUAAUUAAAUGGCUGCAGUAUUUUAACUGUGCAAAGGUAGCAUAAUAAUUAGUUUCUUAAUUAGAAGCUGGAAUGAAUGGAUGAAUGAAAAAUAUAUUUUAUUAAUUUAAUUAUUNAAAAUUUAAUUCUGAGUCAAAAUGCUUAGAUUAAUUUUAGGGACGAUAAGACCCUAUAGAACUUUAUAUAUAUUAUUUUAAUAUAUUUUAUUAUACUAAUAUUUAAAACUUUUUAUAUAUUUAGCUGGGGUGGUUAAUACAUUUUAACUUUAUUUAAGUAAAUCAAUUUAAUUGAACAUAAUGAUCCUUUAUUAUAGGGAUUAUAAGAGAAAGUUACCUUAGGGAUAACAGCGUAAUUUAUAUGGGGAGUUCAUAUUCAUAUAUAAGUUUGCGACCUCGAUGUUGAAUUAAGAUAAUACUAAGGUGCAGAAUUCUUAGU